UUAACUUACUUGUGUUGUAUUUUAUAGGAAAAUUUAAAUUAAAAAAUAUAAAUACUACAAUUAACCUAUUUUAAGAAUAAAUAUAAUAUCCUUAAGCAAAAAAAUAACAAAAUUAUUAACAUUCUUAUCCCUAAAACCGUUUCUAAAAAAUUUGAAGCGACAACACCGGAACUUAAGCGCCUGAGCCAUACGCAUAGUGUCAUCUGUCAAACGGCUUUUUGUUUAUGUUCGAGAUUCGUGUAUUUUCUUUAAUUUUUUGGUUUCAAAAGGAAAAAGGCCACAUUUUAGUGUUUUUUUAAAUUGCUAGGAUGGCAAAAACUUGUGUCGUUUGUGCCGCAUCAUGAUAAAAAGGUGAUUCAAGCCGAUCUUUUCACAAGAUUUCUGAUGCACUGGUUAAAAACACAGCAGCCGAUAAUUCAGUUAAUUUACCAAGUGAUUUACCCUUCAAAGCUGCAAGGGUAGUUUUCCUGAAGAGUGCAAAAACUUCUUUAGCUUCCAAAAUGGUAUAUAGUACAAACAGUGAAGCUAAUAUAGACAAAUCUGAUCACUCACCAUCAACAAUAACUGCAUCUGAGAUUAAUAGUUACUGUCUAGGUCAACAAUUACUAUUUCCCAUCCAAUCCGUUUUUGUUUAACUGCUACACAUUCCCUGACUCUGCCAAGGAAAAGGGUAAAUUGAAAAUGAUAUCCUGAGGACUUUUUAAAAGCUAAAUCACUUAUCACCAAAUUAUGGAAGAUUGCAACAAACAAAUUUGCGCCAAAGAAAUUGAAUUAGAUGUCUCAAGUUAUUAUUAAAAUACUUAAGAAAUAUUACAUAUAUUACAUAUUUUAUUUGACUUGUAAAAGUACUUGUUUGUAUAUUACUACUAAUAAACUAUCUAAUCUAAUCUAUUGUACAUAGUCUUUAUUCUUAGGUAAGCUUUGUUUUUUAGUAUAAAUUAAUCUGAUAUAAUAAUUGGUAUUAGGUAUUAUAUAGGUCACUGUUAAAUGUCUCAAAACCAUUGUACAGGCUAAAUACUCAUAAUAAAAAUCUUAUAACCUAUAAAAAACCUGCAACUCCUUCACAAUUUGAACCUCCUUGUAGUUUUAACUCUUUCCGCUGAAGCAAUACUGUCCCUUUGAAAAAGUCAGCAUCAUAGAAGUAUAUAUUAUGUGAUUUAAAGUAAGUGAUGUAAAACUGAGUUUUG